rnacentral:rRNA from 1 species
AUUGAACGCUGGCGGAAUGCUUUACACAUGCAAGUCGAACGGCAGCACGGACUUCGGUCUGGCGGCGAGUGGCGAACGGGUGAGUAAUGCAUCGUAACGUGCCCAGUCGUGGGGGAUAACGUAGUGAAAAUUACGCUAAUACCGCAUACGAUCGAUGGACGAAAGCGGGGGAGCGCAAGACCUCGCCCGAUUGGAUAGGCCAAUAUCAGAUUAGGUAGUUGGUGGGGUAAAGGCCCACCAAGCCAACGAUCUGUAGCUGGUCUGAGAGGACGACCAGCCAAACUGGAACUGAGACACGGUCCAGACUCCUACGGGAGGCAGCAGUGGGGAAUUUUGGACAAUGGGCGAAAGCCUGAUCCAGCCAUUCCGCGUGCAGGAUGAAGGCCCUCGGGUUGUAAACUGCUUUUGUACAGAACGAAAAGGUUUCUACUAAUACUAGGAGCUCAUGACGGUACUGUAAGAAUAAGCACCGGCUAACUACGUGCCAGCCGCCGCAGUAA